GACGAACGCUGGCGGCGUGCCUAAUACAUGCAAGUAGAACGCACAGUUUAUACCGUAGCUUGCUACACCAUAAACUGUGAGUUGCGAACGGGUGAGUAACGCGUAGGUAACCUGCCUGGUAGCGGGGGAUAACUAUUGGAAACGAUAGCUAAUACCGCAUAAUAUUGAUUAUUGCAUGAUAAUUGAUUGAAAGAUGCUAUUGCAUCACUACCAGAUGGACCUGCGUUGUAUUAGCUAGUAGGUGAGGUAACGGCUCACCUAGGCGACGAUACAUAGCCGACCUGAGAGGGUGAUCGGCCACACUGGGACUGAGACACGGCCCAGACUCCUACGGGAGGCAGCAGUAGGGAAUCUUCGGCAAUGGACGAAAGUCUGACCGAGCAACGCCGCGUGAGUGAAGAGGGUUUUCGGAUCGUAAAGCUCUGUUGUAAGAGAAGAACGGGUGUGAGAGUGGAAAGUUCACACUGUGACGGUAUCUUACCAGAAAGGGACGGCUAACUACGUG
rnacentral:rRNA from 1 species